GACGGGGGGGGCAAGUGUUCUUCGGAAUGACUGGGCGUAAAGUGCACUUAGGCGGUGAAUCGGGUUGAAAGUGAAAGUCGCCAAAAAGUGGCGGAAUGCUCUCGAAACCAAUUCACUUGAGUGAGACAGAGGAGAGUGGAAUUUCGUGUGUAGGGGUGAAAUCCGUAGAUCUACGAAGGAACGCCAAAAGCGAAGGCAGCUCUCUGGGUCACUACCGACGCUGGGGUGCGAAAGCAUGGGGAGCGAACAGG
rnacentral:rRNA from 1 species